rnacentral:rRNA from 1 species
UUCAGAUUGCAGGCUGCAACCCGCCUGCAUGAAGUCGGAAUUGCUAGUAAUCGCGGAUCAGCAUGCCGCGGUGAAUACGUUCCCGGGCCUUGUACACACCGCCCGUCACACCAUGGGAGCCGGUAAUACCCGAAGUCAGUAGUCCAACCACGUGAGGACGCUGCCGAAGGUAGGAUUGGCGACUGGGGUGAAGUCGUAACAAGGUAUC